rnacentral:lncRNA from 1 species
CAUGCAUGCGCCUGUAAGAGUCCUCGCCUGCCCGCGAGAAAUUUUCCCAGGCCGCCGCGGCGCGGCGGGACAUCUCUGCUGCUUCCGCGGCGUGGCCGGAUCAGUCUGCUACAUCGACGGCGCGGCGGGACCUCCGUGUUGCUUCGGCGGCACGGCGGGACCUCUGUGCUGCUACUGCUGUGCGGCUGGACAUGCCGGCUGCUUUCGCGGCGAGGCGGGACAUCUCUCGUGCUUCCUCUUCCAUGCUCACCUCUCCCUGGUGAAAAUCUCUCGACCCAAAACUCACGCUGGCUAUGGCUUGAUUGACUUGAUUGUUUUUUGUGGAUGAGGAGUUUAGGAGGAAUGUGCAGUCAUCUUAGCAUAGUAAUAUUUAUAACCGAGUACUACUAAUACGCUCCUAAGUGGGAAACCUUUUAGGUUGUGAUCGGUGUCAACAGGUUUGCAAUUAAAUAUAGCGUGGUAGUAGUAGUAAUUUGGAAUGUGACGAGACACGCUCAAAAUUUAUUGAUGGUUCUAGUUUCGAAGUGCGGCACUAUUCCCGGAUGGCGUAACGUCGGCACGUUUUCUCGGCCGUGGUGUAGCAUAUGCCAUGGUACUAGUUCUUUUUCUACUGCUGUGUACGUGCAAAAACUGGCACCGUCGGAUACAUAUCUUACGCUUGGCGUUCGACAGGAAUAGCCUCGUGGCGAGCUAUAGACUAGUCUUUUUUCAGACGCAUUACACCUAUCUCUCGGGACUUCUCGCACGCACCAUCACUGCUCCCUAGGUCGAUGCCACCCACAUACACUUGUACUCUAUGAAGAGGUGCACGCACACACUCGUCCUCUCUCACACACGCAUCUGUAGCUACGAAUUGUAGUGUUCUCAACCAUCCGAUUGGCUCUAUCAUAGGUUUCAAGUUGCUCCUUGACCUUGAGAUUGAGAAGUUUAAAACGCGGAGGCUAAGAUGGAGGCGCGAGGUUUUGGUUAAUGUGCGGGCCGCACACGGCACCAACACGACACGAGCUUCGUCUGCCUGGUGCGCAUGCAGUCGGGUGAGUUGUCCAAGUAUAGACACAACCAGGCCCUCGUUGGUAUCCACGCCUCAACUUUGGCUGGUCAUAGUGGAGAGUAACAUAGACUAGUUACUAGUCUAUGUUACUAGUACCUUCAUAGUGGGUAGUGUCAUAUAGUAUAUGCAUAAUUUGGCGACGAGCGCUCUCUAUAUGUACCACCUUUUUUAUUUAAUUUCAUCUUGUUAGUUUUGCUCCAUGGCGCAAUCCAUCGAUACUACUACUGUACAAAUGUAUACAUUUUUUAAAAGGCUAGAGGGCGGGGCAGUCUAGCUUGGUCCUUUUCACGAGAGGUGAGGGCCUUUGUGAUUUGACGGCUCAUUACUGCUGGAAGGCGGGGCCUUGUGAUUUGACUGCUCGUAUAAAUGUGCCGACAACCUGAGGAGGAGCAAAGAACCGUGCGGUAUACUCAAGUUUUCCAUUGGAGUAGUACUACGACGGAGGAGCAUGAAACACGGCAGCCCAGUGCCAUAUGGCGAUAAAAAAUGAUCUAAUUGGCUAGUCAUCUCAUUGUUAGCAUUGUUCUAUUCAUGCCUCGCAGAGAACGUGAUACGUGCGGUGAAACACCCGAAGCAAAAGAAGAAACACAGGAGCAAAAGAAGAAGGAAGAUUAUCACCCCAAAUGAUCUAAUUCGCCGUGGAGUCGUAACUGCUUCUUCAUCGCCUCCACGACCUCCAUCUCCUUGCGCGUCUCCUCCACCAUCUUCUUCAUUCUGUCCAUGACGCGGGAUUUCUCGACGCGAGCCUUCAUCUCUGUUCCAUGGCCACAUUACGUACCUUGACAGCAGCCGGGUGCUCGAAGCGGAGCUUCGCCAACUCCUCCUUCUGCUCCAUGACGAGGGCUUGCAACAUCUUCAUCAAGGAACUACUACUCUCAUGCAGCUUCUUCCAGCCGGCGUUAUUCUCCUUCAAUAGGUCGAGCUCGUGGCAAAGCUUCGCCUUGUCCUCCUGAAGUUGCAGGAUUUCGCCGGUCGCCUUCUUCUCCGAAGCAAUGCUCUUCUUCAGCAGCAUCACCAAGCCAGCGGUCAACUCCCCCUGCUUAUUGAGCUCAGCAGGCAUGUCGUCGAGGCUCUCCUUCAGCAGCUCCACCAAGCCGUGGAUGAACUCCUUCUGCUUAUUGAGGUGCUUAUUGAGCUGAUCGGGCAUGCCGUCGAGGGAUAACGACUCCAGCGCCGCCAGCUCGGCAUGUUCGCCUUCGCGGCUAGGGCGCUCCUGGGAGCCAUCGCCAGCCCGUAAGAGAUCUUUCAAGGUAUCUACGUGGUGGCAAGCCCUCUCUUUUUUUUCCACAACCUUGGUUGCCACUCCCUUGUUACGAGUAGUUCUCGACCUAGAGCUCUGCGCACCGGACAUGGCAAGGACGGACGAAGAAGAAGCACUUAUGAGGAGGAAAGGUAGAGUAAUUUUCGGUUAGGUAGUUCCCCUUUUUAUAACCUAAGUACUAGCACUAGUACUAAUACCUGCAUAGUGGGAACACGUUCAGGUUUGGUACGUACUAGUAGGUGUGAGCAGGCUUGCACUUAAUUGUAGCACUAGUACUUUCGAAUGUGAUGGGAACAAGGUAAAGAUAAAUUGAUGGGUUUUGGUUUCGAGGCCUGAAACGGCUCCCGAUGAGUUUAGUCGAACAUAAAUUUGAAGUAGACUACACUGCUCAGAUGCGUAAAUAUUAUGUUACUGUCAAAAAUUGGCACAAAAUACGAAGGAGGCCAAUGGAAGUACUACUAGCAACCCAUGAUUUAACUACUCGGAUGCGUGCAGUGGAGUAGUAAUUUCUUUCUUCCGCCCUCACGUCCACUCAAUUUGCAUGCGCUGUGCUACCUCUUGAGCACUGCGUUGGUUUUCCCUUGAAGAGGAAAGGGUGAUGCAGUAAAGUAGCGUAAGUAUUUCCCUUAGUUUUUGAUAACCAAGGUAUCAAUCCAGUGGGAGACUACGCUCGAGUCCCACGCACCUACACAAACAAAUAAGAACCUCGCAACCAACGCGAUAAAGGGGUUGUCAAUCCCUUCACGGUCACUUACGAGAGUGAGAUCUGAUAGAUAUGAUAAGAUAAUAUUUUUGGUAUUUUUAUGAUAAAGAUAAAUAAAGAUGCAAAGUAAAAUAAACGGCAAUAGAAAUAGCUAAGUAUUGGAAGAUUAAUAUGAUGGAAAUUAGACGCGGGGGCCAUAGGUUUCACUAGUGGCUUCUCUAAAGAUAGCAUAAGUAUUACGGUGGGUGAACAAAUUACUGUCGAGCAAUUGAUAGAAUUGAGCAUAGUUAUGAGAAUAUCUAGGUAUGAUCAUGUAUAUAGGCAUCACGUCCGUGACAAGUAGACCGAAACGAUUCUGCAUCUACUCCUAUUACUCCACACAUCAACCGCUAUCCAGCAUGCAUCUAGAGUAUUAAGUUCAUAAGAAGAGAGUAAUGCUUUAAGCAAGAUGACAUGAUGUAGAGGGAUAAACUCAUGCAAUAUGAUAUAAACCCCAUCUUUUUAUCCUCGAUGGCAACAAUACAAUACGUGCCUUGCUGCCCCUGCUGUCUCUGGGAAAGGACACCGCAAAGAUUGAACCCAAAGCUAAGCACUUCUCCCAUUGCAAGAAAGAUCAAUCUAGUAGGCCAAACCAAACUGAUAAUUCGAAGAGACUUGCAAAGAUAACCAAUCAUACAUAAAAGAAUUCAGAGGAGAUUCAAAUAUUGUUCAUAGAUAAUCUUCAUCAUAAACCCAUAAUUCAUCGGUCUCGACUAACAUACUGCAAAAGAAGAGUUACAUCAAAUAGAUCUCCAAGAGAAUCGAGGAGAACCUUGUAUUGAGAUCCAAAGAGAGAGAAGAAGCCAUCUAGCUAAUAACUAUGGACCCGAAGGUCUGAGGUAAACUACUCACACAUCAUCGGAGAGGCUAUGGCGUUGAUGUAGAAUCCCUCCGUGAUCAAUGCCCCCUCCGGCAGGACGCCGGAAAAGGCCCCAAGAUGGGAUCUCACGGGUACAGAAGGUUGCGGCGGUGGCAUUAGGUUUUCGUGGAUGCCUCUGAUGGUUUGCGGGUACGUAGGUAUAUAUAGCAGGAAGAAGUAGGUCGGUGGAGCCAUGAGGGGCCCACGAGGGCGGAGGGCGCGCCUGGGGGGGGGGGGUAGGCGCGCCCCCCUACCUCAUGGCCGCCUCGUCUGUUGCUUGACGUCCACUCCAAGUCCUCUGGAUCACGUUUGUUCCAAAAUCACGUUCCCGAAGGUUUCAUUCCGUUUGGACUCCGUUUGAUAUUCUUUUUCUGCGAAACACUGAAAUAGGCAAAAAACAGCAAUUUGGGCUGGGCCUCCGGUUAGUAGGUUAGUCCCAAAAAUAAUAUAAAAGUGUAUAAUAAAGCCCAUUAAACAUCCAAAACAGAAUAUAAUAUAGCAUGGAACAAUCAAAAAUUAUAGAUAUGUUGGAGACGUAUCACGCUGUAUUAAUUGACCAUCAAUGAAGUGAAGGACCUUACACGCAUCAAAUUAUCACAUGGGGUGGAUCUUGGUACAAAAUUGCGUCCGCCCGUGUACCCGCGUGUGCGUGCGAGGGAAUGAGUGCAUGUGUGGCGUUCGUGCACAUCUUCGCUUCAUGCAUGUACCGCCAGUGUGGCUCAGGGAGGACGAGUACAUUCUUCUGGAACCAGCAGCACGUCACUGUGAUCAAUCCACACAAGGAUGUCGCGACAACGCCUCCACAUGUGCCACGUGGCUUCAUGAACUGUAAGAGAGACACUGUGUAGCGUGCCAUUGUGUUUUGCACAUACUCGAAGUAUUAGUAAGGUACACGUGCAUUGCACGUGUCAGAUUUUGCAACAAAAUUAUGAAUAAAUACCACACUAUAGCAUGUAAGCUCUGAGUCAUAUAUGCCUGAUGUAGACCGUCGUUUAAUUCUUAUAGUUCAUCUCAUUCAAAAUCAAUUAGUUUUUAUAAAAAAACCUAGGGCCUCUUUGAUUCGUAGGGUUUCCAAAACGCGAGAAUAGGAAGAACAUGGGAUUAGAGUGGAAUGUCGUCUUGAAUCCUACAGGAUUGUACGAGUGUUUGAUUGUGCAUAGAAAAAACGCAGAAUUCUUUCAAAGAGGUUUGAGUGGAUGGGAUGUUUCCUAUGAAAUCUAGUGCAAAUGAAUCAUAUGGAAAAAUUCCUAUGGUUUACAAUCCUACGAAUCAAACAACCAAGAUAGGAAAAAUUCCUAAGGAUUAGAAUCCUCCAAAAUUCCUUUGAGAAUCCUUUGAAUCAAAGAAGCCCUUAAUCUAUUUUAUGAUUCAUGGAAUUGUGCGUUGUAAAGCAUAAAGUAAAAAUAAUAAUGGCAAUUGAACUAGAAAAAAAGUUUGGGCAGUUAUGAUACGGAAGAUUCUAGAACAAAGGAGAACCACUGUUGUUUUGAGAUUUGUGCAUUAUGCUUAAGUUCAACCACGGAGUCUGCUAGAUUCUACAUGUGGCAAAAUCUGGUGGGGGGCUAGAAGAUGGUGCGAGGGGCCGAGUGGAGGGAGACUAUGAAGCAGUGCACAAUCGCGAGAUCGAUAUUUAGAGAGAGGGGGCGAGAACGUGCGCUGUUGCGCGCAGUGGCAGAGCCAUGAAAAAUGUCCCAUCAGCUAGGGGGCCAAGCAUUGCUAAUCCUUUACGAGGUGGGCCAAUUCAUCAACUUAAACCAUUUUUACCAGCAAUUGUCUAAUGAUCACAUUCGUAUUAGCCUCGAUAUAUAGUGAUGUUAGGGGGGGCAGGGCCUUUGCUGCCCCCUGUCUUCGCCAUGGUGCUUGCGUCUGAGAGAUGAAGCGGAAGGCAUGGAUGAUGAGAGCUAUAUAUGUAAUCCUAUAUAGAGAGGUAUAGAUUGAUCGAUGUGGGCAUGGGAAAGAGGGUGAGACCUCACUAGAUAUAUAGAUUGAUCGGUUUAUGUGGAAAACUACGAAAGACCUAGCUAUAUACACACACACAUAGAGGAACAUCGAUCGUUGCGCAUGCACGUGAGAGAUAAAGAACGCCCGAUAUGAUGGAGAGGUGUGUGUGUGUGUGUGUGCCUUCAUGGGAGACCGACCUGAAGAAAAAGACUGCAUGUGUGCGAUGGACAAUGCCGACUGGUAGUGUGUGUGCAUGCAUGCAUGAGACAAAGUUAGUGGUACAAUUAUAAAGAGAAGACCAAUGUGUGGGUGUAAAAGACUAGGUGAGGUCAUAAUCGAUGUAAAGUUGAAUUCAAAUAUUCGAAUAAGAGAUCAUGAUGUUUGAAACCCAUGCAUGCAUGAAUACAACGGAGUUCUGUGCGGUGUGGUCUGGAAACGAGCAUGUUGUAAUGUAUACACAUUGAACAAGGUCAGACUGGUUUGAAUUUGAGAUACCGAUGACAGACAUCGUUUGGCCACAUUGCAUCCGUGCAUGGACACACUAUUCUAAUUGGAGAUGAUGGGUGGCUUCGCAUCACAUAUCUAUAUCUAUACCCUAUAUAUAUAUAUAUAUAUUAUUUUAUAUUUUUUAUAUAGUGUGCGGAUAACUUAAACUUUGAAAGAUGGUCGUUGGAUGAGGCCAAUCCGAUGGUGCAGAGCUGGCAAAUUUGAACACUACUGGUCAUUGGAUAUCAUCUAGAUUCCACCAGAUUUUGCCACAUGUACAAUCUAGAAGACUCUAUGGUUGAACUUAAGCAUAAUGCACAAACCUCAAAACACAAGCACUUCUUCUUUGUUCUAGAAUCUUCCGUAUCAGAAUUGCCCAAAUGUUUUUCUACAUGAUUUGUUUUACUUUAUGCCUUACAACGCACAAUUCCAUGAAUCUUAAAAUAGAUUAGCUUUCUUAUAAAAACUAGAUGAUUUUGAAUGAAAUGAACUAUAAGAAUUAAACGAACAUCUACAUCAUGUAUAUAUGACUCAAAGCUUACAUGCUAUAAUGUGGUAUUUAUUCAUAAUUUGGUUGCCAAAUCUCAUGCGCGCAAUGCACGUGUACCUUACUAGUCUAAAUGGUGUCUGUGUGUGUUGUGCGUGUUAAAUACAUUGUAUGUAGUAUAUCGUACUAGUCUAAAUUGUCUUUUUUCUUGUACACGUUAAGCUCGUUCUCCCGAAAUUUCAAGCCGCGCCUUGUUAUGCCAAACUUUCAAGCUAGCGUCUCUGUCUAUCAUGCUGCGAAACUCCCGCCUCUUCAACCCGCGCCUUGUUACCCCGAAAUAUUAAAGAUAAAUCUUUGUCUUGUUGUGCUCUGACAACUCCCUCCAUCUCAACCCGCGCCUUGCUAUUCCAAAAUUACAACGCGCGCGAAAACUCCCACCUCCUGUGAAAUCCUGACACGCGAAAUGCUCGUGAUACCCCUGAACUGAAAGAACCGCCUCAAAUCGGUGGGGGUACUUUCGUAACUUACCCCACAUUUCGGACAAGCGCGUCCCUAAGCCAUGGUUCCCCACUCCCAUCCAAUCCGCCCACACAUUCGUACACCGAGGCCGGGAAAACCCGCGAAGCCCCACACCCUCCUCCGUCCGCCACCCAGCCGGAGCCUCUUCCCCGACGACGUCGUCCACAGCAACACCUCGACGUCCCUCAUCCACCGUACCGGAUGAGGAUCCGUCAUCGAUCUGGUCGUCCCGCCGGUUCAGCCACCCCAUCCUCCACCUCCAAGGAGCUUCCCCUACGUUCCCCUCGUCUUUCACGCCACCUCCAUUCCCACACCGCCGUCUUCACCUGCACCACCGGAAGAGCAUCAUCAUCACCGUUUCCUCAGAUGAAGCUGCGGCCUAAUCGGCGCUGUGACGCCCCCGAUUCAAUCGUACACUAAUCAUACACGCAAAUGUGUACGAUCAAGAUCGAGGACUCACGGGAAGAUAUCACAACACAACUCUAGAUACAAAUUAAAAUAAAACAAGCUUUAUAUUACAAGCCAGGGGCCACGAGGGCUCGAAUACAAGUGCUCGAUCAUAGACGAGUCAGCGGAAGCAACAAUAUCUGAGUAUAGACAUAAGUUAAAUAAGUCUGCCUUAAGAAGGCUAGCACAAACUAGGAUACAGAUCGAAAGAGGCGCAGGCCUCCUGCCUGCGAUCCUCCUAAACUACUCUUGGUCAUCGUCAGCGGCUUGAACGUAGUAGUAGGCACCUCCGGUGUAGUAGGAGUCGUCGUCGACGGUGGCGUCUGGCUCCUGGGCUCCGGCAUCUGGUUGCGACAACCAGAGAGAAAGGAAAGGGGGAAAAGGGAGAGAAAAGCAACCGUGAGUACUCAUCCAAAGUACUCGCAAGCAAGGAGCUACACUACAUAUGCAUGGGUACAUGUGUAAAGGGCCAUAUCGGUGGACUAAACUGCAGAAUGCCAGAAUAAGAGGGGGAUAGCUAAUCCUAUCGAAGACUACACUUCAGGCCACCUCCAUCUUGCAGCAUGUAGAAGAGAGUAGAUGGUAAGUUCACCAAGUAGCAUCGGAUAGCAUAAACCUACCCGGCGAUCCCCUCCUCGUCGCCCUGUUAGAGAGCGAUCACCGGAUUAUAUCUGGCACUUGGAAGGCUGUGUUUUAUUAAGUAUCCAGUUCUAGUUGUCAUAAGGUCAAGGUAAAACUCCGGGUCGUCCUUUUGCCGAGGGACACGGCUAUUCGAAUAGAUAAACUUCCCUGCAGGGGUGCACCACAUAACCCAACACGCUCGAUCCCAUUUGGCCGGACACACUUUUCUGGGUCAUGCCCGGCCGCGGAAGAUCAACACGUCGCAGCCCCACCUAGGCACAACAGAGAGGUCAGCACGCCGGUCUAAAUCCUAUGGCGCAGGGGUCUGGGCCCAUCGCCCAUUGCACACCUGCACGUUGCGAACGCGGCCGGAAGCAGACCUAGCCUAGCAGGCAUUCCAGUCCAAUCCGGCGCGUGCCGCUCAGUCGCUGACGUCACGAAGGCUUCGGCUGAUACCACGACGUCGAGUGCCCAUAACUGUUCCCACGUAGUUGGUUAGUGCGUAUAGACCAAAUGGCCAGACUCAUAUCAAAUACCAAGAACUCGUUAAGCGUGUUAUUUUGAAGUAACCGCAGACGCCGUCCAGGGCCAGGCCCACCUCUCGCCUAGGUGGUCUCAACCUGCCCUGUCGCUCCGCCACAAGAUCCACUCGCGGGUACUCCUAUGAGCCGACCCGACUUUAGUCACCACAGGUAUCAUGUAUAGAGUAUAUAAGUAUAUACCCGUGAUCACCGCCCAAGUGAUCACGGCCCGAUAGUAUAGCACAGCAGACGGACAAGAAUGUAGGGCCACUGAUGGAAAACUAGCAUCCUAUACUAAGCAUGUAGGAUUGCAGGUAAAGGUAACAACAGUAGUAGCAAGGACAGGCUAUGCAUCAGGAUAGGAUUAACGGAAAGCAGUAACAUGCUACACUACUCUAAUGCAAGCAGUAUAGAGAAGAAUAGGCGAUAUCUGGUGAUCAAGCGGGGGUGCUUGCCUGAUUGCUCUAGUAAGGAGGGGUCGUCAAUAGCGUAGUCGGUUGGGGCACCAGCAGCGGCAUCGGUCUCGUAGUCUACCAGAGAGAAGAGGGGGAAGAAACAAUGAAUACAAUGCAAACAGAUGCAUAACGAUGCAUGACAUGACAAAGCGUGAGGCUAGGUGUUCCCAAACGCGGUACUAGGUGAUACCGGCGAAGGGGGGAAACAUCCGGGAAAGUAUUCCCGAUGUUUCGCGUUUUCGGACAAAUGGACCGGAGGUGAAAUGUUGCAGGUUCACUAUGCUAGGGACGUGUGGUGAACGAACGGUCUGCGUAUCCGGAUUCGUCUCGUCGUUCUGAGCAACUUUCAUGUAGAAAGUAUUUUCAUCCGAGUUACGGAUUAUUUUAUAUGAUUUUCUAAAGUUUUAAUCAUUUUCUGAUUUUAAUUAUUUAUUUAAAUCCAACAUUAUCUAGCACAGUAUGGGAUGACGUCAGCAUGACGUAUGUGUGAUGUCAGCAGUCAACAGUGCGGCUGACUAGUCAAACCAGACAGGUGGGUCCAGUGGGACCCACAUGUCAGUGACAGAGCUUAACUAACAGAGUUAUUUUAACCUAACUAACCUAAUCAGCGAGUGGGGCCCAGUAGUGAGUGAGAGAUUAGGGUUUUAAUUAGCUAAACUAUUUAAUUAACUAAUUAUUCUUUUAUUUAUUUCAUUUAUUGAGGUGGGACCUAUAGGUCAGUGAGACAGGGCGGCCCAGUCAGCAGUUGACUCAGUCAACUGGUCAACAGGGGGCCCUGGGCCCACCUGUCAGUGGCCCAGGCGGUGGGACCCGCGGCACCAGGUCAGCGCGGCCGGCUCUCGCCGCCGGCGACCAAAUGCACGGCGCUGACCCGCCGGAGUUCGCCGGAAAAUGCGCACAGGGCACGGAUCCGUGCGCGCAUGGGCUCGUUCGAACGAGCGUGAAGAGGCGCAUCUAGUGGUGGCGGUGGCGUGGCCGGAGAUGGCCGGAAGUGACGGCGGCAAGCCCACGGCGGAUGGUCGGAGUCGGGCAUGAGUGGAUCCAGCACUAGGGGGCACGGGAAGGCAUGUGCGCGCGCGCGUUGGGUUCCUGGAAGCUCCAAGAACACGGUGACGGGCUCAGGCGAGCAAGACGAUGGCUGUGGUGACGGCCACGAGCUCGUCGGCGGCGGACAGAAACGGGCGCGGUGGCAAACUAGCUACCGUGCGCUAGGAAGCUAACUGAGAGGGCGGGAGGCGGAGGAGCUCACCGAGCGGCACACACGGAGGCCGGUGAAAGGUUUAGUAGCAGCAGAGGGGCGUCGCCGGAGUUGGUGAAGAGCGGCGGCGACAGGAGAUGCGGAAUAAGGGGACCGUUGCAGCAGCGCCUCUGAGCUCCAGCUGCGGCCACCGGUCGACGAGGAAGACGAUGGCGGAGACGACGGACACGCUGGCGAGGCGAGGCGAUGGCUGUGGCCGCGCGUUUCACGGCGGCGGGUCCAUGGCGGCGUUCGAACACGGUGGGGAACGAAGGGGAGAGGGAAGUGGAUCUGAGGGGGAGGCGCAGAGGCCGAGAGGGAGAGUGGGGGUGAGUGGGAGGCGGGAUCGAGGAGGCGGGGCGUGGUGGCCUUAUCCUCUCCUCGACGCCGGCGAGGGGGUCCGGCGGGGACGCGCCCCUGUUCCGACCCUGGUCAGGGGAACAGGGAAGGGGACGGAGCGACCGAGGGAGGUGGCUGGGACGGCCGGAUGGGCCAGGUGGGCCAGCCUGACUGCGAGCUGGGCCGUCUGGUCGAGGGGGUCCUUUUCUCUUUUUUUCUCUUUUGUCUUCUCCUUUUGUAUUUUCUUUUCUUUUCCUUUUCUGUUUUAUUUAAUUUAGGGCAUUUAAGUAUUUUAUAAAAUUUUGUCUUCUACACCAUAAUUACCUAUGCCAUUUUUGGCACUGCCCGAACAUUUUUGUUUCAACUUUUGAAAACUUUGGGUGUUUGUCACUAAUUCAUUUUUUUGAAUUUGAAAUAUUUUGAACUAACACUUGAUUAGCAACAGUAACAGAGAUGGCAUGGCAUCAUCAGGAGAGUUUAAUGUAGCCUAAUUAUCCGAGCGUUACAAAUCUCCUCCACUACAAGAAAUCUCGUCCCGAGAUUUAGGAGGUAGAAGGAAACAGUGCGGGGUAUUCAUCACGCAGGCGAUCCUCGUGUUCCCAAGUGGCUUCAUCUUCAGAAUGGUGCGACCACUGGACUUUGAGGAACUUGAUCGCCUUCUGAUGUGUGCGGCAUUCAGCUUGGUCGAGAAUGCGGACCGGAUGCUCUUUAUAGGAGAGGUCCUGCUGCAAUUUGAGCACUUCAUGAUCCACUGCUCGGAUUGGGUCCUUGAAGCAAUGGCGGAGCUGUGACACGUGGAACACAUCGUGAACCUGAGAAAGGUUCGGCGGAAGUUCAAGUUGAUAUGCCACUUUUCCACGCCUUUCGAGAAUAGUGAAUGGGCCAAUAUAGCGAGGAGCUAGCUUGCCCUUGAUCCCGAAGCGGCGAGCACCCUUCAUUGGUGUAACUCGAAGAUAAGCCUUUUCGCCGGGUUGAUAGACCAUGACUUUAAGAUGACGGUCAUACUGACUCUUCUGACGUGACUGAGUAGUCUUGAGAUUCUCACGAAUAAUGCGGACUUGUUCUUCGGCACGUUGGAUAAUAUCCGGACCAAAGAGUGGACGUUCCCCAGUUUCUGACCAGUUCAGAGGGGUUCGGCACUUUUGCCCAUAUAACACUUCGAAGGGGGCCAUCUUUAGACUAGCUUGAUAGCUAUUAUUAUAAGAGAACUCAGCAUACAGGAGAGAUUCCUCCCAUUUCUUGCCGAAGGAAAUAACACAAGCUCGAAGCAUAUCUUCGAGAACUUGGUUGACACGUUCAGCUUGCCCUUGCGACUGAGGAUGAAACGCAGUACUGAAUGACAGAUGAGUUCCCAUAGCUUCUUGGAAACUUGCCCAGAAUCUUGAAGUGAAUAAGCUGCCACGGUCUGAGCUGAUAACCAACGGAAUACCGUGGAGUGAAACAAUCCUGGACAUAUAGAGCGUUGCCAGCUGACUAGCAGUGAUCGUUUCUUUGACCGCCAGAAAAUGUGCAACUUUGGAAAGCCGGUCAAUGACGACAAGAAUAGCAUCAUUACCUUUCUGUGAUUUGGGGAAUCCAGUGACGAAGUCCAUCUCAACAUGGUCCCAUUUCCAUUCAGGAAUAGAGAUAGGUUGCAGAGUUCCAGCAGGCCUUUGAUGUUCUGCUUUGAUACGAUGGCAAACGUCACACUCAGCAACAUAACGAGCAAUGUCUUGCUUCAUAUUAGACCACCAGAAUCUCUGACGGAUGUCUUGGUACAUGUUUGUACUACCAGGAUGGAUACAUAGAGGCGUAUCAUGAGCUUCUUUCAUAACUUCCUGAGUCAUAUCCAGGUUUUUCUCUACACAUGGCACCACUAGGCGGCCCUUGAAGUACAAAGUGCCAUCAUCAGCAAUAGUGAAGAAUGAGGGCUUUCCUUCUACGAGGUAGCGCUUAAUCUUGUGGGCUUCAGAGUCAUAUCCCUGUAUUCUCUUGAUGGAGUCCAAGAGAUCUGGUUCGACAGCCAGGGUAUUGAGGGAACCCUGGGAAACAACAUGGAGGUUCAUCUUGCGAAACUCCUUAGGAGGGGGAGCGAGUGCACCCGGAGGAACAAUAUGGAGGUUCAGCUUUCUGAAUUCUUCAACAAGCGAGGGCUGAACUUUGUGAACCUGGAGGUGGUUGCAGUAAGACUUGCGGCUCAAGGCAUCAGCCAUUACAUUAGCCUUGCCUGGCAUAUAGGAAAUACCCAAGUCAAAGUCUGCAACAAUCUCCAUCCAUCUCUGCUGACGGAGGUUCAGGUCUGGCUGAGUAAACAGAUACUUCAGACUUUGGUGGUCAGUGAAGAUCUCGCAACGAUUACCGAGAAGGUAAUGUCGCCACUGCUUCAGCGCAUGAAUGACAGCAGCAAGUUCGAGGUCGUGAACUGGGUAGUUCUCUUCGUGAGGGCGCAAUUGCCGAGAGGCAUAAGCAAUCACUUUGCAGUCUUGCAUUAGGACACAGCCUAAUCCUUGACGAGAAGCGUCGCAGUAAAUGAAAAAGUCCUUCUUAGUAUCAGGUGGAGCUAGAACUGGGGCAGAAGUCAACUUGUCUUUGAGUGCCUGGAAACUUUCCUGACAUUUGUCUGUCCAUUGGAACUUGACGCCCUUAUGCAACAGGUUAGUCAGAGGCCUGGCAAUCUUGGAGAAGUUCUCGACGAAUCGACGGCAAUAGCUGGCGAGACCGAGAAAACUUCUGACUUGCUUAACGUUCUUCGGAGGAGUCCAAUCAAGAAUAGCCUGGACUCGUUCAGGGUUGACGGCAAUACCAUCCUUAGAGAUGACAUGCCCCAGAUAGGUUACUUCGGGUAGCCAGAAUUCACAUUUGGAGAACUUGGCAUAUAGUUGAUGCUCUCGUAGCUUUUCCAGCACAAGACGAAGAUGUUCAGCAUGUUCCUCUUCGUUCUUGGAAAAUACCAGGAUAUCAUCCAGAUAAACCACGACGAACUUGUCGAGGUAAUCCAUGAAUAUAUAGUUCAUCAGACGAGAGAAGGUGGCUGGAGCAUUGGUUAAACCGAAAGACAUGACAGUGUACUCGUAUGAACCAUAUCGAGUCACGAAGGCGGUCUUUGGGAUAUCCUCUUCACGAACACGGAUCUGGUGGUAACCCAACCUCAAGUCGAGCUUAGAGAACACUGAUGAACCCGCCAGUUGAUCAUACAGAUCAUUGAUCCGAGGAAGAGGAUAUUUAUUCUGAAUGGUAGCUUGGUUUACAGGACGGUAUUCUUGAACUAAUCGGUUUGUCCCAUCCUUCUUCUUGACAAAGAGAGAAGGUGCUCCCCAAGGAGAGCAACUUGGGCGGAUGAAUCCUUUGCGAAGGGAUUUGUCGAUUUCCUCCUUAAGCUCAAGGAGUUCAUGCGGCGGCAUCUUGUAGGGUCGCUUGGCUAUAGGAGUGGUGCCUGGUUUCAAGUCGAUGAUGAAUUCAACAGCUCUAGCAGGGGGAAUCCCUGGAAGUUCUUCAGGAAAGACGUCGAGGAAUUCACGCACGAUGGAAAUGUUUUCAAUGCCCUCGAGUGGUGCAGCGUUCAAUGCAUUCAAUGCAUAGAGCCUUGCCUUGGCAUUUUGCACCAGAUGAGCUUGGUAAGUAACUAUUUCAUCUGAAGGGUGUAGUAGAUGGACGGUCUUAGUGGCGCAAACGAUAGAAGCAGUAUGCGCUUUUAACCAAUUCAUUCCUAGAAUGAGAUCAAUGCUACAGGACUUCAGUACGAUGGGAGAGACAAGAAAUUCCAGUCCUUCAAUUUCAACAGGAACGUCGUGACUAACCAUAGAGGUUUGACAUUGGCCUGCAGGGGUGUGUACCACUAGCGGAGUGUUCAUCUCUUCGUAUUUAAUGCCAUGCAUGAAUGCAAAUUCUGCUGAUAUGAAUGAAUGGGAUGCUCCUGUAUCAAAUAAAACGGAUGCUGGUACUGAAUGUACGAGAAGAGUACCCAUCACGGUAGCAGGCUGGUCUUGAGCUUCGUUGAGAUCAACGUGGUUGGCAUGAACACGACCAUAAGACUUGGCAGUGUUGUUGCGGGGCUGGUUGCUUCCAUGGCCAGUUGCUGGAAGGGCCAGUUGAUUCUGGUUCUGGUUGCAUUCCCUAGCACGGUGCCCUGGUUGACCACACCUGAAGCACAAACCAUUAUUUGGAGUGGGAACAGGAGCUUGGGGUGGUGGAGCUGGAAGCCCUGGCUGCCUAGUUGGAGGAGUAGGCAGAUGAGGUGCAGCAUAGGUCUGCCUUGGGGCAGGUGCAGUUGGACGGUACAUGUUGUUCGGGAUCCAUAUCUUACGCUUCUGCGAGGGCGGGCCCGAAGAUGGGCCCGUGUCACGGUUGCGCCUGUGAGAGCUCUGGUAUUCCUGCAGACCAGUUUCGACAUUGAUGGCCUUGUUCACCAAGGUGGCGAAAUCAGUAAAGUCAUGCACUAGAAGUGUGAGCUUGAUGUCAGCUUGAAGGCCAUCACGGAACUUCUCCUGUCUGCGUGCAUUAGUUGCAAUGUCCUCUUCAGCAUAGCGAGACAAGUCCAGAAACUCCCGCUGAUAAGCUUCAACAGUUUUGUUGCCUUGGGUGAGGUUGCGGAACUCACGCUUCUUCCGGUCCAUGACUCCCUGAGGAAUGAAGCGGGCACGGAAAGCAGCUUGGAAGUCUGGCCAGGUGAUGAUUGUUCCAGCUGGCAGAGUACGCCUGUGGCUGUCCCACCAUUGAGCUGCGGGUCCCUUCAGGAAGAAGGAAGCAAAGGUGACAUAGCUGGCAGGGGCUACAUCGGUAGACUCCAUCUCAUAGGUGAUGUCACGGAGCCAGUCAUCAGCAUCCAGAGGCUGAGUUGAGCUGCGGUACACAGUUGGGUUGAGGCGCAUGAAAUCCUGCAGAGUUACUGGGGUUGGUUGCUGGUCCAUAUUGGGGCGAGGAAACUGAGCCAUCAUAUUUUACAUGAAUUGGCGGUUCAGUUCGAACUGUUGGAUCAUACCAGCCAUGUACUCAGGUGGUGGUGGGGCAUUGCCACCACUACCACGACCACCUAGUCUAACCAUCCUGCUAAUAUAUAACAGGGGUAGUUCAGCAUUGAGAAAUUUGCAAAGGCAAGAAUCAUUCAUGAUGAAACAUGCAUAAUGAAAGGAGCACGAUAGCUACUACAUAGUAGUCGGCAUAACUUACAAAAGGGGGUCAUGCAUAGAGUUCAGUACACAGACUUCAGUACAUAGACUAAAACACCAUAGGCAGCACACAGGCUCGCGGCGAAUGCAUCUAACACUAACAAGCAAGCCUACAUCAGUCCCAAGAGGUACUGUGGAGGUAGGUGUAGCCUGAAAGCUGGUAGUGUCGCAUCGAGAACUCCACGUCAGCAUCCUGGGGUCCGCGAAUACUCUGGUGCAGAACCUGACGCUCAGGUGGCAGAAGAGGACCAUGUGCGGGAGAGUAGCCUCCCACAUCUGGCCAGCCAACACCCUGGGGCAUCACAGUCCUGGCUGGGUAGAUCGCAGAACGGGGCAGCUCUCUAGAUCGGACAAAGGGGUGCAACAGCGUCAGAGCACGGUAAAGGUGCUGACGGGUGGUGUACAACUCGUGGCCAAGAGCACGGUUAGCUCGAUCCAGCCCAUCAGCAUGCAAAACCAGGUUCUGAUGGUAGAAGGGCUCUCGGGUGACAGUGGAGUAGGCAGCAGUAUAGUAUCCCUCCGCACCAACAUCAGAUGCGAUAGCAAUGUGCCUGAAAGGGGAGGUGUCCAACUCCCGAUACUCUCCACGAAGACGUGUCAGAGCAGCAUAAGCAGCAUCGUGGAAGCCAUAUCGAUGGUCACUCCAACACCAUGAGCGGUGUGCAGCACAGUAGUGGAGUCAUACUCCCGAGAGUAGAGGUGGACGAUGGCACGGUACUGCUCCUGGUUAAAGUCCUGGUACUCCUCGUAGACGGUGUACUCAGGGUGCCAGCGAUAACCCAGAUAGGUCAUCAUCUCAGCUAGCAAAGCAGGUGAUCCCGAGGCACCAAUGGCCGUCGUGUGGCGCACGACCUGCCUCGUGGGUUCCAUCUGAAAGCAAAGAUGUUUCAAAGGAGUUAAAUGACAAUGUGGGAAUUGUUCAAAAUACUAUUCUAAGAAAUAACUAUGGCUUAUCCAACUUUGGGGUGAAUGUGGUCACGGGAUCCUAGUGUUAGAGUUAGUAAAUUCGUUUAACCCGAGUAGAAGAGAGUUCAGAGUCCCAGAGUAAAGGUCGAGGAGUAAAAGAUCCUAGUACCACCCAAUGGCGACGUGGGCCCGUAAGACACACAGCCAUGUUAGUAAAAGUUUUGUAAUGUCUAGACUCGACUUCGGCCAAGGAGUUGGAAAGGGGGCUACCUACAGGCAGUCGGCUCUGAUACCAACUUGUGACGCCCCCGAUUCAAUCGUACACUAAUCAUACACGCAAAUGUGUACGAUCAAGAUCGAGGACUCACGGGAAGAUAUCACAACACAACUCUAGAUACAAAUUAAAAUAAAACAAGCUUUAUAUUACAAGCCAGGGGCCUCGAGGGUUCGAAUACAAGUGCUCGAUCAUAGACGAGUCAGCGGAAGCAACAAUAUCUGAGUACAGACAUAAGUUAAACAAGUCUGCCUUAAGAAGGCUAGCACAAACUGGGAUACAGAUCGAAAGAGGCGCAGGCCUCCUGCCUGGGAUCCUCCUAAACUACUCCUGGUCGUCGGCAGCGGCAUGAACGUAGUAGUAGGCACCUCCGGUGUAGUAGGAGUCGUCGUCGACGGUGGCGUCUGGCUCCUGGGCUCCGGCAUCUGGUUGGGACAACCGGAGAGAAAGGAAAGGGGGAAAAGGGAGAGAAAAGCAACCGUGAGUACUCAUCCAAAGUACUCGCAAGCAAGGAGCUACACUACAUAUGCAUGGGUAUAUGUGUAAAGGGCCAUAACGGUGGACUGAACUGCAGAAUGCCAGAAUAAGAGGGGGAUAGCUAAUCCUAUCGAAGACUACGCUUCAGGCCACCUCCAUCUUGCAGCAUGUAGAAGAGAGUAGAUGGUAAGUUCACCAAGUAGCAUCGGAUAGCAUAAACCUACCCGGCGAUCCCCUCCUCGUCGCCCUGUUAGAGAGCGAUCACCGGGUUAUAUCUGGCACUUGGAAGGGUGUGUUUUAUUAAGUAUCCGGUUCUAGUUGUCAUACGGUCAAGGUACAACUCCGGGUCAUCCUUUUACCGACGGACACGGCUAUUCAAAUAGAUAAACUUCCCUGCAGGGGUGCACCACAUAACCCAACACGCUCGAUCCCAUUUGGCCGGACACACUUUUCUGGGUCAUGCCCGGCCGCGGAAGAUCAACACGUCGCAGCCCCACCUAGGCACAACAAAGAGGUCAGCACGCCGGUCUAAAUCCUAUGGCGCAGGGGUCUGGGCCCAUCGCCCAUUGCACACCUGCACGUUGCGAACGCGGCCGGAAGCAGACCUAGCCUAGCAGGCGUUCCAGUCCAAUCCGGCGCGCGCCGCUCAGUCGCUGACGUCAUGAAGGCUUCGGCUGAUACCACGACGUCGAGUGCCCAUAACUGUACCCGCGUAGUUGGUGAGUGUGUAUAGACCAAAUGGCCAGACUCAGAUCAAAUACCAAGAACUCGUUAAGCGUGUUAUUUUGAAGUAACCGCGGACAUCGUCCAGGGCCAGGCCCACCUCUCUCCUAGGUGGUCUCAACCUGCCCUAUCGCUCUGCCACAAGAUCCACUCGCAGGUACUCCUACGAGCCGACCCGACUUUAGUCACCACAGGUAUCAUGUAUAGAGUAUAUAAGUAUAUACCCGUGAUCACCGCCCAAGUGAUCACGACCCGAUAGUAUAGCACAGCAUACGGACAAGAAUGUAGGGCCACUGAUGGAAAACUAGCAUCCUAUUCUAAGCAUGUAGGAUUGUAGGUAAAGGUAACAACAGUAGUAGCAAGGACAAGCUAUGCAUCAGGAUAGGAUUAACGGAAAGCAGUAACAUGCUACACUACUCUAAUGCAAGCAGUAUAGAGAAGAAUAGGUGAUAUCUGGUGAUCAAGGGGGGGGCUUGCCUGAUUGCUCUGGCAAGAAGGAGGGGUCGUCAACAGCGUAGUCGGUCGGGGCACCAGCAGCGACGUCGGUCUCGUAGUCUACCGGAGAGAAGAGGGGGAAGAAACAAUGAAUACAAUGCAAACAGAAGCAUAACGAUGCAUGACAUGACAAAGCGUGAGGCUAGGUGUGCCCAAACGCUGUACUAGGUGAUACCGGCGAAGGGGGGAAACAUCCGGGAAAGUAUUCCCGAUGUUUCGCGUUUUCGGACAUAUGGACCGGAGGUGAAAUGUUGCAGGUUCACUAUGCUAGGGACGUGUGGUGAACGAACGGGCUGUGUAUCCGGAUUCAUCUCGUCGUUCUGAGCAACUUUCAUGUAGAAAGUAUUUUCAUCCGAGUUACGGGUUAUUUUAUAUGAUUUUCUAAAGUUUUAAUCAUUUUAUGAUUUUAAUUAUUUAUUUAAAUCCAACAUUAUCCAGAACAGUAUGGGAUGACAUCAGCAUGACGUAUGUGUGAUGUCAGCAGUCAACAGUGCGGUUGACUAGUCAAACCAGACAGGUGGGUCUAGUGGGACCCACAUGUCAGUGACAGAGCUUAACUAACAGAGUUAUUUUAACCUAACUAACCAAAUCAGCGAGUGGGGCCCAGUAGUGAGUGAGAGAUUAGGGUUUUAAUUAGCUAAACUAUUUAAUUAACUAAUUAUUCUUUUAUUUAUUUCAUUUAUUGAGGUGGGGCCUAUAGGUCAGUGAGACAGGGGUGGCCCAGUCAGCAGUUGACUCAGUCAACUGGUCAACAGGGGGCCCUGGGCCCACCAGUCAGUGGCCCAGGCGGUGGGACCCGCGGCGCCAGGUCAGCGCGGCCGGCUCUCGCCGCCGGCGACCAAAUGCACGGCGCUGACCCGCCGAAGUUCGCCGGAAAAUGCUCACAGGGCACGGAUCCGUGCGCGCAUGGGCUCGUUCGAACGAGCGUGAAGAGGCGCAUCUACUGGUGGCGGUGGCGUGGCCGGAGAUGGCCGGAAGUGACGGCGGCGAGCCCAUCGGCGGAUGGUCGUAGUCGGGCGUGAGUGGAUCCAGCGCUAGGGGGCACGGGAAGGCAUGUGUGCGCGCGCGUUGGGUUCCUGGAAGCUCCAGGAACACGGUGACGGGCUCAGGCGAGCAAGACUACGGCUGUGGCGACGGCCACGAGCUCGUCGGCGGCGGACAAAAACAGGCGCGGUGGCAAACUAGCUACCGUGCGAUAGGAAGCUAACUGAGAGGGCGGGAGGCCGAGGAGCUCACCGAGCGGCACACACGGAGGCCGGUGAAAGGUUUCGUAGCAGCAGAGGGGCGUCGCCGGAGUUGGUGAAGAGCGGCGGCGACAGGAGAUGCGGAAGAAGGGGACCGUUGCAGCAGCGCCUCCAAGCUCCAGCUGCGGCCACCGGUCGACGAGGAAGACGACGGCGGAGACGACGGACACGCUGGCGAGGCGAGGCGAUGGCUGUGGCCGCGCGUUUCACGGCGGCGGGUCCAUGGCGGCGUUCGGACGCGGCGGGGAACGAAGGGGAGAAGGAAGUGGAUCUGAGGGGGGAGGCGCAGAGGCCGAGAGGGAGAGCGGGGGCGAGUGGGAGGCGGGAUCGAGGAGGCGGGGCGUGGCGGCCUUAUCCUCUCCUCGACGCCGGCGAGGGGGUCCGGCAGGGACGCGCCCCUGUUCCGACCCUGGUCGGGGGAACAGGGAAGGGGAGGGAGCGACCAAGGGAGGCGGCUGGGCCGGCCAGAUGGGCCAGGUGGGCCGGCCUGGCUGCGAGCUGGGCCGUCUGGUCUAGGGGGUCCUUUUCUCUUUUUUUCUCUUUUGUCUUCUGCUUUUGUAUUUUCUUUUCUUUUCCUUUUCUGUUUUAUUUAAUUUAGGGCAUUUAAGUAUUUUAUAAAAUUGUGUCUUCUACACCAUAAUUACCUAUGCCAUUUUUGGCACUGCCCGAACAUUUUUGUUUCAACUUUUGAAAACUUUGGGUGUUUGUCACUAAUUCAUUUUUUUAAAUUUGAAAUGUUUUGAACUAACACUUGAUUAGCAACAGUAACAGAGAUGACAUGGCAUCAUCAGGAGAGUUUUACUGUAGCCUAAUUAUCCGGGCGUUACAGGCGCCACCAAAGAGGUUGUACACUAAUCGCCGCAUUUUCUUCUUGAUUCGAUCUCACGGUGCUGCCGGCGCUCGUCCUGAGCCGACACGGCGCGGCUCCAUCCACUGCGGCGUCGCCGGCCACUUCCUCCGCGGCGUCGCUCCCUCGGUGGCGACGUCCACAUCAGUAGGAGCUACUGCUGCUUUAGCUCUCACUCGCGCUGCUGCUCUGCUCUUGCUCUCGGUCCCCUGCCUUGUCUGCUCUUGCUCUUGCUCGCGCUGCUGCUCUCGCUCUUGCUCUUGCUUGUGAUGCUGCUCCGAUUUAGCUACACUUCAGUCAACUGAAUCGACUUUUGGGUCAGUCGAUUUUCAGGGGGUGGGGGGUCUCACCGGAGUUAAGGAAGAAACAGGCACGGCAGGGAGGGGGGCUCGCCGGAGAGGUACCCCACUAUCUAUCUUAGGGUUCAGGGUGGGGGCGGUGGCGUCGGGAUCGCCGUAGAAAAAGCUCGGCACGGGAGGGCCAAGAGGGAUGGCCGGGGCGGCGGCGGACCGACGGUGGGGAGAGUUUUCAGAGCGGGCGGGGCGGCGCACCGCCGGCUGCGGGCGGCUGUUUGGCCGGUGGUGGUUGGCGGCUCAUGGGGGCUGGAGGUUGAAGAUGAAGUGCAGGCCCUUCAUUUCGUAUCCAACGGCUGCAAAAUCGACUAACAGAGAUGAAAAAGUCAGUCGACUGACGUGUAGCCUCACCUCUAGUGCGUUCAGUUUCGACAGUAAAAUUCAGUUUCGACAGCAAAAUUCAGUUUCGAGAGUCAAGUUCAGUUUCGACAGUUAAAUUCAGUUUCAACAGUUAAGUUCAGAGAUGAGUGGCUGAUGUAUUUUACAUCUAGCACUUUGUGGUUAUGUAUUUUACGUCAUCUAUUGGAGAUGCUAUUAGAAUUCCACUCAGGUUAACGUUGUCUCUCUUGUCCUGCUUCAGCCUCGGCGUCGUACAACUCACCGGAGCUGCUCCAACGACGAAACCCUCCAUCACAGCGGAGCAGUACCUCGGGCUCCAUCUCCAGACGCCUAAGAUCUUCUUCCCCUCCUCCGAUAGCCAAGUCAGCCGGAGCAUCCUCACCGGCCAACCCAAUCACGCCGAGAUCGACAUGGCUUCGCCAAAUAGGUUGUACACUUCUUGUGGUUUGACUUAAUCUCACCAUGCUUCUUUGCAUCCUGUGAUCUUCCAAUUCUUCUGAACCAAACACCCAGAUUGGCAGAAAUCCUGUGUUUUUAAAUUCUCUGUUUUGCACGUGCAUUCCUAUCCUAUUCCUGUCUAUUUCCUAUCCCUGCAUUGUUAGAGUCCUCCAAUUCAAACAAGCCCUUACACAAUUACUUCUGUUACAGAUAUGUGUCAAAGAAAACCUUGUGUGGUUUGUCCUGCUCCUGCGGUGAUGUGUUCCACCCCAGCUCAGCUGCUCCAACGACGGAAGGGUUCACCACAGCAGGGAUCCGCUCUCCAGACUGUCUUUCGCCACCUCAGAUCUUCUUCCCCGCCGCCGGCAGCCACGACAACUGCAUUACCAUCAUCAACUGAGCAGAUGACCUUGAGGACUACACGGGUCCGCAAGAGAGGUCGCACUCUUCCGUGUCUGCUUAUGUUAUGCAUCGCUUAAUAUGAUGACAUGCUACUUUAUCGUCGUGUUCACCUAUUAGACUCCGAGUCAGGUCCAAACUUAUGCUGAAACUUGAGUUUUUAAAUGGUUGUGAGGUACAUAUUGGGGCAGCAAUCAGUACUAUCUGUCUACUAUCUGGUUAAUCUCGAGUGUCUACUAUGAGUUUCAUGUUGGGGGCAAACAAACAUUAAAGGAGCCAUUAUCUGUAUUUUUUAACUAAAGCUAUUAUCUGCUUGCUAUCAUUGGUUUUGGGUCUAUCCACAGUUUGCUACCAUCACUCUGGAUUUCUGCAUGCACUCCUUACAUAAUCUCACUAUGUUUUAUUCCUAUGCAUGUCAGUUAUUGUACACAAUGGAACUGAACAUGUAGAGCAAAAGAGACGAGCCUUGUGUGGCAAUAAAAUUUCAUGCAGACGUCGCUCCAUGGUGGGCGCAAAGGCAGCCCCCCUCCACCCAUUUCGGAAUGUAAUCAAGAGGAAGAUAACUGUUCUGAGGGGGAUUCAGAAGCAGAAGACCACUCCUAUUUACCCCAUGAGGUCUUCGCUCUAACUUGGCAUGCUGAUGUUGGUAAUAUCAUGCAUAUGGUGCCUUGCAUUGCUUACUGUAUACAUCAAAGAUGUCAUCUGCUUAGUUUAGACAUGCUUUGUGUCAAUGCCAUCUGUUUAGUUUCUUUAUCGUAUAUGUGAAUCAUGCAAUGCCAUCUUGUUUAGCCAGGCAUCAUAUAUGUGAAUUUUGCAAUGCUACCCUGGUUAGCCAGUCAUCUUAUAUGUGAAUUAUAUCAUGACAUCAUUUUUUAUUACGUGUUAAAUUUGUCAACAAUUUUAGUACAUUCAAUUACUCUUCCUGUGCAUCAGCCAUUCGGCACGGUCAUGGAAAAUCUGGAGUGGAAACAAGGUCUUCAGAGCAGACAAUGCUAUCUGACAAAGCGCAUGUCUUGUUGGUUACAGAUAGCUCCUCGGAGGAGGAUUCAGAGACAGAUGACUAGUCCUAUUCCCCCCCCCCGAGGUGCAUGCUCUAACUUGGCAGGGUUAUGUUGCUCAUAUCGUAUGUAUGGUAUCUUGCAUUGCUAUGUCAUUUGCUUAGUUUAGACAUGCUUUGUGUGAAUGCCACCUGUUUAGUGUCUAAUUACCAUAUAUGUGAAUUAUGCAAUGCCAUCUUGUUGCAAGACAUUAUAUAUGUGAAUUAUGCAAUGCUAUCUUGUUGCAAGGAAUUAUAUAUGUGAAUUAUGCAAUGGCAUGCUGUUUAGCCAAGCGUCAUAUAUGUGAAUUAUAUCAUGCCGUCCUUUUUUUGUAUUUCUCAUUGCUUUUGUCGACAAUGUUUGUAUAUUCAACUGCUCUUCCUGUGCAUCAGCCAUUUGAAUUGGUGAUGGAGAAAUCUGGAGUGAAACAAAGGACUUCAGAGCAGACAAUGCUACCUGCUGAAGCAGAUAUCUUGCUGGUUACAGAUAGCUCUUCAGAGGAGGAUUCAGAGGCAGAUGACCAGCCCUAUUAUCCCCCUGAGGUGUAUGCUCAAACUUGGCAGGGUUAUAUUACUCAUAUCAUGCAUAUGUUGUAUUGCAAUGCUUAGUUUUUACAUCACAUACACGAUAUUGAAUGCCAUCUCCUUAGUUGACACAUCAUAUAUGUGAUUGCCCUCUGCUCACUUCCUUAGUAUAUAAAUCAUAUAUUUGAAUUAUAUCAUGCCAUGAUGUUUACAUAGACAGCAUGUACUGAAUUAUGGCAUGCCAACCCAUUUUCUAAAGACAUAAUAUAGUUAUAUCAUCUCAUCCUGUUCACAUAGUCAUCAUAUUUUGAGUUAUGUCAUUCUAUCCGUGAAUUAUAUCAUGCCAUCAUGUUUCCAUCGACGGCAUGUUUGUGAUUUAUGGCAUGCCAACCACUUUAAUAGACACAUCGUAUAGUUAUAUCAUGUCAUCCUGUUUACAUAGUCAUCAUAUUUUGAAGUAUGUCAUUCUAUCCUGUUUAGUUAGCCAUCAUACAUGUGAAAUUGUGUCAUGCUAUCCUGUUUAAUUAGCCAUCAUAUAUGUGAAAUUAUGUCCUGCUAUUCUGUUUGGUUAGACAACAUAAAUGUCAAUUAUUUCAUGCCCUGUUUUCUUCCCUACUAUCCAUUGCACCUGUCUAUCUUACAAUGUUUGUACAUUCAAUUACUUUUCUUGUUUAUCAGCCAUUUCAAUUGGAGGGGGUGAUGGCAGUAUCUGUGGGAGUAAAAACAUGGUCUUCAGAAAAGAUCGUGCUACCUGUCGAUGGAGAUAGAACCACGGUUGUACUUGCCCAAGAACCAGCCCCACCACACAUAACCGAGACUCACGCAGAUUGUACCCCUACCCAGUUGGACAGAGAACCAGCUACACCCCUUCUAACCCCAACCCCAGCAGAUAGUAACCCAGUUCCCGUUGACACAACACCAUCUCCACCACAAAGCACCCAAACACGAGCAGUUAGUAAGGCAACUGCAGUGCCCAAAGCACGAGGACCACCACUCCGAACCCCAAGUCAACGCUUAAAGCAGAAGAAGAGUUGUUCUCAGGUCAGGUUCCGUAGCUAUGGUUCAUACUACUUUGCUCUUGCAUCACUGUAUUUACUCAUACCAACUAAUUUCAAAUUUGAAGGAUGCAAUUGAAACUCCAAUGGCGCAACAGGUAUGUUUUAAACCUGUUUCAACGUGUUUGCUGUUGUAACUUGCUCUAUGUUGAUUUCAGUUUCAAUUGAAUAAACAAUUAUGUUCUCAUGCCAUGCACAUUACAAGUGUUGUUAUUGCUGUGUAGUUUCCCACACUUAUAUUCUGUCUAUGCUGCUUUGUCUUAAAUAGAUAUGAUUCGAACUGUAUCUAUCUUGAUUUGGCAACAUAAACUAGAAUGAUAUAGACCAUACAGUGACCAUACUACAUAGAUAUAUGUUUGUUUCAUGCUGUUAUCCUGUCCACCUUACUACUGAACUGGUUUACCAAAAUGAGUUUCAUAUACUACAUUGUAAACUUGUGAUGUGUUUGUUUGUUUCUCUUUUAGAACGCGGAUAAAAUAUUGGAGAAGAGUACCCCAUUAUGCAAUGGUAAAGGAAGUAAUGCAGAUAAGGUUCAAGAUAGUGAGACAUCCCUGUUGGUCUCCAAGAAAGCUGAUAAAAACUAUAUUGAAGACACUGAGACAACCCCAAAGUCCUGUCUGAUGUAGUGUUCGAGUUAUUGGCUACUACUACUGGCACCAGCUCUUCGAACUCGUUGCCUGAAUCAGUUCAACUUCUUGAGUCUCAACUUCAAGUUGAAAGACAUCGAUCAGAUGUUAUGCGACAGGAAGCCGAAGAACUGAGGAAGUCCCUGCAGAAUUCAGAUGCAUACUUUCUGGUGCAACAGCAAGUGCUGGAGGUUUUAAGCGCCAAACACAAGAAAGUUAAUAAGCUUGCUAAGCAUCUUGCCAGCAUUAUGGGUACCCAGGAUAUUGUUUCUUGAGCUCUUCUGAAGUGGUUUCAGCUCUGGACUUGUUUUGCUGCGGCGUUUAUAUGCUGCUUUGUUCCCUAUAUUUGCACUGGUGGCGAACUUUGAUGCCCAGUGGAUGUAAUAUGUGUAAUAGCCGUGAUAGCCUAGCGUAAGUUGCUCGCUUAUUUAUUUCCUUAUUGUCUUGUUUAUUUUUUUCUUGUAGUCAGUGUAGUUCUUUUUCUGCGGUUUGCUAGUGGCCGCAAUAACCUAUUUUUUAAAACUAGGCCACAUUAACCAUGGGCUAUAUAUUUACUGUAGUUAACAUGGGCCUCCUACGGGCCGUAGAAACAAUGGGCCUUCUAAGGGCCGUAGAAACAAUGGGCCUUCUAUGGGGUGUAGAAACAAUGGGCCUUAUACGGGCCAUAGACACAAUGGGCCUUCUACGGGCCAUAGACACAAUGGGCCUUCUACGGGUCGUAUCAUCAAUGGGCCUUCUACGGGUCGUAUGAUCGGUUGGCCAGACAUGGGCCAAUAACAGACCACAUUAUGGCCGUAAAUGGGCUAGAGUUGAAAUCGUCCAUUCAUGGGCCGACCAUAACGGGCCGUCGUUAAUCGGCCGUAUUUGAUGACGCUAUGAAAAUGGCCCAACGUAUUAACGGGCCACAAACGGGCCGACUGUAACCACGGGCUAAAUUUGGCCCACAAGCAGAAAAUGACAGUAACGGGCCGAAAGUAAACGAAUGCUGGAAAUGAGCCCAAGAAUAAAUGGGCCCUGAGAAGGCCGAAAGAUAACAUGGGCUGGAAAAGGCCCAACGGAAUAAUGGGCCGUUAAUGGGUAUAAAGUGAUACGCUGUUCAUUACGGGCCAGUUUUACCACGGGCCGUUAAUGGGACGAGGGUUACUAAGGGCCUCAUAUGGGCCGAAAGACGUCAUGGGCCAUACAUGGGCCGGAAGUUAAAACGGGCUGGAAUUAUAUUGGACGGCCCAGAUGACGCUACUGGGCCUGAUUCGGAUAGGCCGUAAAUGGGCCCUGGGUUAGUGGGCUGUAAAUGGGCUAUAUGCGAACAGGCCGUUAACAGGCUUGCCGUGGGCCAGGCCGCCACCUUUUGACCAAGUCAAACGGGCCGGCCUUUUCACAGGAAUGGGCCUCUGUUGGGCCGUGCCACGUGUCGACCUAUCAUAGGCGCUUUGGGUCCAAUGAGUGGAUGACAUCUGUCCCAACGGUGAGCCGACACGUGUUUCCUCCAGCCAAUGAUGAUUUUACACGUGGAAAAUCCCCAUUGGUCGGGGCUGUUAACGGGUUAUCAGAUCCAAAACCGGACCCGAUAGCUUAACGGCGUUCCGUUACGGUGGAUGCCAUGUGUCGGUCACCCUUGACGAAAGCACUUCUGUGACGCGCGAUUUAUCGUCAUGGAAGUGGACACUUCCGUGAUGAUAAUUUUGGUAAUGUCAUGGAACACUUCUACGACAGCACAGGUAUGACUAUCUUGAUUCUGUUAUAAAAUUGUCAUGGAUGUAUAUGCAUGACAGAAAACGUGACCUACUGUGACAAACACGUAUCAUCACAGAAGUGUAUUUUUUUGUAGUGAUGGUAACAGACGCUCAAAGUUGUAUCCCGAUCUACUACAACGAUUACUGGAUACUUGUGUUACUAAACUGAUAUGAUGGCUCCAGUGUCGCUUCCUCAUGGGGUAGACGAGGAAGGAUCUCUGGAAUUGCUAUUAUAUACUUGUUACUAUAUGAUAUGUUACUCUACUCUCUUCUGUUGCUGUAAGAUGCUAGUCUUUGAUAGGCUAGGCCUUUUCCUCCAUUUUGGCAAUUCUGCAGUAUAGUCCACAGAUACAUCCCCUUCCCCUUAAUACUUAUGCAUACUUAGUAUAGAUCUAUUGUAAGUCUUGCAGGUACUUUGAAUGAGUACUCACGAUCGCUUUGCUACAUUUUUCCCUCUAUCCGAUUGCUGCGAUCAGAUGACGGAGCCCAUGAGACAGCUGAUUCCGGCGACGACUACUACUACACCGACGGAGCCUACUACUUCGUGGAGACCGACGACGAGGAGUAGUUCAGAGGCUCUCAAGCAAGAGACCUACGCCUUUUCAAUAUAGAUGUCAUUUUUUGCUCAACCUUCUUAAGACAAACUUGUCUAAUUAUGUCUAUACUCAGAUAUUGUUGCUUUCACUGACUUAUGUAUUCGAGCCUUCGUGGCCCUGGCUUGUAAUAUAAAGCUUUAUGUUUGAAUUUGUGUCUUGAGUUGUGUUGUGAUAUCUUCCCGUGAGUCUCUGAUCUUGAUCGUGCGCAUUUGCGUGUAUGAUUAGUGCACGAUUAAGUUGGGAGAGUCACAGUCUCCUUCGGGUCCAUGGUUCAAUGGCGGGAGGGAAGAAGAGAGUGGGGAACAUGCCGGGAAUUUGGUGAAGAGUGGCAAGAUGGAAUAAUUGAAUAAGAGAGUGUGGGAUUUUGCCAUGAAAACAGUGCGGGCGGUUACAAAAGCGCUGGCUCUGCCUAUGUUUUUGUUAGGCCGAGGGUGUCGGAGUCCUAUGUGGCUUGUGUUCGGACACCGGCAAAGCCCCCCUCUCCCUAGUUUGAUUCGACUUUGCGGGAAAAUUAUGGUCCAGACUACUCCGCGAACCGAUGGGGUCGACGUUGGAUGGCUUGCAGGGUUCGGAUGGAUAAAGACGGUUUGAGGGUCGGCGUUGGAGAUGCCCUAAAACCAAAGAGUAAACCUUCAUGGUAGGGAAUUCCCCCUUGCAUGAGCCACAACCCCCCUCCUAGCCCAACUAGGAGCCAAUAGACUCAUGGACCAAAGAUCGCCUACCCUCCAACCUCCUCAUUUUAAGGGUAGCUUGGGCCAUUUUUCAAGGGCACCUAGGUUAUAAGCCCCAUGGGCAUGUAACUCAUUCACUCCCACCUACAUAAACUCACGAGGAGAACCACCAUCCCUCCAUAGGACCAAGGUUUGCAGGGUAGGAAUUGGAGUCUGAGGGAUCUAGUAAGGAUCAGGCCGCCGAGGGUAAUUGGGACUUCGGGAGCAGCAAUGUUCUAAACGUUCAAUGCGCCAAAAACCUUUCUUGGUGAUUCUUCUCAUGGGAUGUAGGUCACGCUCCAACGAGGCGACUAGACCUAUUUAAAAAAUAUUUUGUGGCGUCGGUGUAUCACGACUUUCAUAAUAAGAGCGUUGUACACACCCCGGAUAACAUUUCACUAACCAUACUACUAAGUAUGCCCCUAAAGACUUUAUUCCUAUUUUUAGAUUUCAUAAUGAGUUGAUGAUUUAAGCUAGAAAGCUGGUAGAUAGCAGAGAUUUAGAAUGUACUCAACUAGAAAAAUGACUUUCACACUCCAUAACCAGCUCAAUUCAACAAUCAAACAACCCUAUUUAAAUGGUUACCUAUAUGGCUAUAUGUGUCGUAUAGGCUUCACAAAACGCCUAGUUUGUCAUGUAAUGUGACCUUAAUAGUGACACAUCACCAUUUACAACUAGUACGGAUGUCCAUCUACUGUUGAGAGCGCUAUACUCACAGCCUCCAUGUCCCAUAUAGAACGCAUUUCAUAUAUGCGCUUGAGGCCAUAUUGACGGUUAUUAUGGCUGGGACCCUAUGGCGACUCUGCUAGAGGUGGUCUAAGGACAUCACAAUGGCAUACCUCAUAUCACCUCCCUCUAUGUUCAAUAUUUUAUAUUAUUAAAACAAAGUCUAAAAUAUAUACGUAAACAAUCCUAAUUUUUUUGUCUUAUCCGCAUUAGAAAAUGGAGUAAUAAAUAAUUUAGAAUUUCAAUCUUUUAGUAUCUAAGUACAAGUGCUAAGAAAAAUAAAAAAAUGAUUGAUUUGCAGCAAUAGAUGUCUUUCACAUGAAACUAAAGAAUAGGUUUUUCUUUUUUGAACGGCGGUUCCAAAAAUGGUACUCCAAGUUGAAAAAGUGUAUUCGUAAAAAUACCUGGAACAAACAUACUUAAUUUUCCAUAGUACAAUCUUAUUCUUUAAUAAAAUCACGAUCAUUUUCUAGUGGCAGUGAGGAUUGAAAACAAAAGGGUUUUCAUGGGCAACAAACAAACAAAUAAAGAUGUUUUGAAAUAAUAUGAAAUGACUUAUCAAAAAAGAUUUUGAGUUAUUCAAUAAUAAUUUGGAUUCUUCUUUGAAUGCACUUCUAUGUGUCGAAUUACUUGGCACAAUAUUCUCAUAACAAAUAUGUCUGAUAUAGAAUCCGUAUAAUAAAACACGAGGAUUAUAUAUGUGAAAAUUAUGAAUAGUGGAGUAUUUUUACAAUAGGACUUACAACUUCAGCCCAUUUCUUUCUGAACAACAAAUGUACAAUGAUGUACCAUUUGUCCAGCUCCCAUUUUUGUCCGACCUAUGUUUGCCCAUUUACAUUUUUUUGAACCAAAAUGAAUAGUCAAAAUACAUGGUAUAAACAUAUACAAAUAAUUAGUUUAAAUUUAUAAGUACAUAGUUCAAACAUAAAUAUUGAUUUGAAGUACAUAGUUUAGGAAUUAAAAAAAUCAUAUGACAAUGCAAAUAUAAUGGUUUUCAUGAUGCAUUCAUAAAUGCUCCACAUGAUCGUUGUCACAUGACCGUUGAGAAGUUAAUUUUUUUUGCGGAAUAAUGAUUUGAAGUAUAUUGAGAAGUUGUUGAUGUACUUCUCGAUCUCGAAGUUGUUGGCGCAUCUUGAGAAAAUGUGCAACUUGCUUUUCCUCUUGUCCAGGGAGGUGGAGAUGUUCUCCAGGCUAUUCAAAAUCAAUAUGGCAUACACCGUCGUCCUCAUCCAGACAUCCUUCACGCUUAUGUUGUGCAUUAUUACACAUGCAGUCAUCACCCCCACGAUGUUUGCAGUCCAUGAAAGAUAUUCCAGUGACUUUGGAGCACAUCAAUCUCUCCUCCGCAUUAUUCGUAACAACUCCUUGCAUUUGGGCAAAGAGAGAUUUUUUUUUUGGUUAUCACAGGGGGCUCGAAGAUCGUCUUCACAACGUCAUCCACUGAGAAUACAUAUCAUCAGUAAGAUAGUAUUGUGUGGUGUGGUUGUUCCCAUUGAUGGUGUACAUGCAUACCGCACAAGUAGGUUGCUUAUUCGGGGCUUCCUCUCAGUUAAUUUGCUCUCAGCUGCUCCCGGACCAUGAAUAUUAAUCGGGCUGUGUGCAAAAAAAAAAGGAAGCACUGACUUUUCUUCCUUCCCGUGCUGUUCGAGCAAGACAGAGACACGUGAAAGAAGUAAUCGUCCCGGCCACAGAUGAAGCAGGCUGUCCUAGGACAGUUGGACUCAGUAACGACAAAUUCUGUAGCAAUUUUGUGAAUUUACUUGUAGCAAUUUUGUAGGGCAAAUUGGUACCAGAAUCACUGAUGAGUUUUCCUAGUUUUUCAGUACUAGUACUACUGUAUAGCCUUCGAUUCGGCAAGAGCAGUACGCAGGCCAUCAGCGUCUGACCAUAUAUGUUGGCGCAGCGGCGCAGGGCAACGACCAGGCAGAGGUCAGAGGCCAGAAUAGCCAGACCAGAGCAGCAGUCCGAUGGAGUCAGAUCUUGUAGAUAAAUGUUGGGUGGCCCAACGCCUCCAACCCAACCAUCACGAAACCGGGUGCGGCCGCCAGCGUAGGUACGUGCAGCUACAGGGUGCUUGACCUGAUCAAAGCUCGCAGCCGCUGGCCAGUUUCACCCAUGCAUCUACCUGCGUUGGCUUUGCCUGGCCUGAUGCUAAUGCCGUUUUGGCACCAACCUCUCCUCUCUCACACGUCCCGCUCAGCUGGCGGUACCUCACACCAAAUCAAGGCUACGUCUACGUACGUACGUCCUCUCUGUUGCAUGCACUGCACGCACACGCAUGCUACACUGUUUCCUCAUGCGAGCUAGCCAGCCCGCGAACCUGCAUGCACACUCAGAACCUGCGAGUAAAUAAAAUCGAUCAAGCAUGGCUCACCUAGCCAAGCAAGCCGGGCGUACCGUGUGGUAGAGUGGUGCAGGGCGUACCACGGUCAGGCGCAUGCGCCGUGCGCCUUCAAUGCGCGCGCAUUGAAUACCUCCCCGGUCCCCCAUUGUUAGGUGCGAGACCAGCCGCGAGCGGCACGCGGCGCGCUCCCGCGCGCGCACCGUCGCGCGCCCGGGCAUGCGCCUGCAUGCAAAGCCGGCGCCACUGACGCGCCGCUGGUUCGGUUCGGAGCGGAGCGGUCCGCCCGCCCGCCCGCCCAACGGCUCCAGCGGCGAUUAAUGGCCUGACCCGGACGUUCCCCCCACGGUGGUGACCUGCACGUCAAACCUUCUUCAUGCCCCGCCUCCAUAUAUCCCGCGCGCACGCAGGGCGGAUGGGGUACGGGCCACUGCCUUGGCCUACUCCUCCAGCUGCAGUGAUCACUGGCCGCCUUCCCAGUCGCUCCCAAGUCGUCGCGACAGCGGCAAACCGAUUCAUUGCCAUCCAUCGCCCUGCUUGCUCUCGCCCCGGCCGCUUCUAUAUAGCCCCGUCCUGCCGAUCACAUUCCAUAUUGCACCACCUCUCCUGUCCUCACCUCACCUCUCGCUGCGCUCCGGCGAUCGAGCUUGGCUAGCUUGGCGAUGGAGGCAGGGACGUGGGCGGUGGUGGUGGCGGCGGCGGCCGCGUACCUGGCGUGGUUCUGGCGGAUGUCGCGCGGGCUCAGCGGCCCCAGGGUGUGGCCGCUGGUGGGUAGCCUGCCGGGGCUGCUGCAGCACGCGGAGGACAUGCACGAGUGGAUCGUCGGCAACCUGCGCCGCACCGGCGGCACCUACCAGACCUGCAUCUUCGCGGUGCCCGGCGUGGCCCGCCGCGGCGGGCUGGUCACGGUCACCUGCGACCCCAGGAACCUGGAGCACGUCCUCAAGGCGCGCUUCGACAACUACCCCAAGGGCCCCUUCUGGCACGGCGUCUUCAGCGACCUGCUCGGCGACGGCAUCUUCAACUCCGACGGCGACACCUGGGUCGCGCAGCGCAAGACGGCCGCGCUCGAGUUCACCACGCGCACGCUCCGCACCGCCAUGUCCCGCUGGGUCUCCCGCUCCAUCCACCACCGCAUGCUCCCCAUCCUGUCCGACGCGGCGGCCUCCGGCGCGCACGUCGACCUGCAGGACCUCCUCCUCCGCCUCACCUUCGACAACAUCUGCGGCCUCGCCUUCGGCAAGGACCCGGAGACGCUCGCCCGCGGCCUCCCCGAGAACGCCUUCGCCACCUCCUUCGACAGCGCCACCGAGGCCACGCUCAACCGCUUCAUCUUCCCGGAGUGCGUGUGGCGGUGCAAGAAGUGGCUGGGGCUCGGCAUGGAGACCACGCUGGCGCGCAGCGUCGCGCACGUCGACCGCUACCUCUCCGCCGUCAUCAAGACGCGCAAGCUCGAGCUCGCCGGCAAGAGCGACGGGUCCACGCCGCACGACGACCUCCUGUCGCGCUUCAUGCGCAAGGGGACCUACUCCGACGACUCCCUGCAGCACGUGGCGCUCAACUUCAUCCUCGCCGGCCGCGACACCUCCUCGGUGGCGCUCUCCUGGUUCUUCUGGCUGGUCUCCACCCACCCGGACGUGGAGCGCAAGAUCGUGCGCGAGCUCUGCGCCGUCCUGGCGGCGUCCCGCGGCGCAGACGACCCGGCAUUAUGGCUGGCCGCCCCGUUCGACUACGAGGAGCUGGACCGCCUCGUGUACCUCAAGGCGGCGCUCUCGGAGACCCUCCGGCUGUACCCGUCCGUGCCGGAGGACUCCAAGCACGUGGUCGCCGACGACUACCUCCCCGACGGCACGUUCGUGCCGGCCGGGUCGUCGGUGACGUACUCCAUCUACUCGGCGGGGCGCAUGAAGACGGUGUGGGGGGAGGACUGCCUGGAGUUCCGGCCGGAGCGGUGGCUGUCGGCCGACGGCACCAAGUUCGAGCCGCACGACUCGUACAGGUUCGUGGCGUUCAACGCCGGGCCGCGCAUAUGCCUGGGCAAGGACCUGGCGUACCUGCAGAUGAAGAACAUCGCCGGGAGCAUCCUCCUCCGGCACCGCCUGGCCGUGGCGCCGGGGCACCGCGUGGAGCAGAAGAUGUCGCUCACGCUGUUCAUGAAGCACGGGCUCCGGAUGGUGGUGCGCCCGCGCGACCUCGCCCCGACCCUCGACGAGCUCCCCGCCGCGGCACCCGCCGUCGCGGCCUGCGCGUAGAAGAUCGAUGUGUAUGGACCCCCGGCGCCGUGCAUGCAUGCUCCACGUACGGUUCGUGCCAUAUGGGGAAGGUCCGGAGGACGAAGUUGGAAGUGGCAAGAAAACUGUGUAGAUACACGAGUCCAACACACCAACAGGUACUACUUAGUAGGUGAGUAUAUCUACAUCGGGAUAAAGGGAUCUGUCUAAAAAUAUCCAAAUCAGAAAGAAAGGGAAACACACAGGGGCAACAAACAAUAAUGCUCCUCUCCUGUACUGUAAUGUACUGUACUGAACUACGUGUGACAGAUUAGAAGUGUAUAAGCUCCAAAUUCGUCUGGGCGGUUUGUGUUAAUGCGCCGCCGAUUGUUGUUGUUGUUGGCAGGGAGGUUGCGUGUGCAAAUGCGAGGUGAAACAUACAACUCGAUCGAGUGAUUAUUUUCUGGAUGGACCCGUUGGUCCGGGCUUAUUAAUUCUUCCCCGUUCUAUUUCUGGCGUCUUGAUUGCCGGUAGCUCGCUGCUCAUGGCGUUAUUGCACGAGGUGGAGAUGAGAUCAGUGUACAUCGCUGUUGUCCAUCUUAAGGUUGUUUGAGGCUCGUGCACGGGACCGAGAGAGCGAUUUGAUAGUGGGAGUUUCUUUGUUGAGGGAGUUCGAUACAUCAAACUCUGAUCCAGGACAGUGCAUCAAAGAGGCAAUACAAACUGAUAAAGAAUUUCGACGUGCCUUUUCAUUCUCAUUUGAUUAUUUGAUCAUUUUCCGGUCGCAAAUUUAUGUUCG